rnacentral:rRNA from 1 species
CAAUAGCGUAUAUUAAAGUUGUUGCAGUUAAAAGCUCGUAGUUGAACUUCUGGCUGUGGGUAGGUUCGGCUUUGGUCGGCCUAUUCGCAGUCAUCCGAUUGCAAACUGCGUAUGGCAUUCAGUUGUCAGCGUAGGGAGCAGUCAAUUUACUUUGAAAAAUUAGAGUGUUUCAGGCAGGCAAUCGCCCGAAUACAUUAGCAUGGAAUAAUGGAAAAGGACUUUGGUUCAUUUGGUUGGCUAUUGAAUCAGAGUAAUGAUAAAUAGGGACAGUUGGGGGCAUUAGUAUUUAAUUGUCAGAGGUGAAAUUCUUGGAUUUAUUAAAGACUAACUUAUGCGAAAGCAUUUGCCAAGGAUGUUUUCAUUAAUCAAGAACGAAAGUUAGGGGAUCAAAGACGAUCAGAUACCGU